rnacentral:rRNA from 1 species
AUCUGGCUCAGGAUGAACGCUAGCGGCAGGCCUAAUACAUAGCAAGUCGAACGGUGGUAGCAAUACCAUAGUGGCGCACGGGUGCGUAACACGUAACUAACCUACCUAUAACUGGGGAUAGCCGCCGAAAGGCGGAUUAAUAACCGCAUAAGUCUUUAGCUGGCAUCAGCUGAUUAGUAAAGAUUUAUUGGUUAUAGAUGGGGUUGCGGGUCAUUAGCUAGUUGGUUGGGUAACGGCUGACCAAGGCGACGAUGACUAGGGGAGCUGAGAGGCUGGUCCCCCACACGGGCACUGAGAUACGGGCCCGACUCCUACGGGAGGCAGCAGUAGGGAAUAUUGGGCAAUGGGCGAGAGCCUGACCCAGCCAUGCCGCGUGCAGGAAGAAGGCUUUUUGAGUCGUAAACUGCUUUUGACAGGGAAGAAUAAGCGCUACGUGUAGCGUGAUGACGGUACCUGCAGAAUAAGCACCGGCUAACUCCGUG